rnacentral:lncRNA from 1 species
CUGCCAAUGCCUCAGCAGACUCACAAUAAAGAACUUCUCCCUAAUGGCUGACAUAAACCAGCCCCUUUUUAGGUUGAAGUCAUGUUGCCUUGUCUUAUCACUCUUGUUCAAAUUUCCUCUCCACUUCCCUUGUAGCCCCUUCAGGCUCUUGAAGGUUCCAGGAUCUCUCUGGAGCCUUCUCUUCUUCCAGGAGAACAACGUCUUCACAGGAGAGGUGCUUUAAUAAUGUUUCAUGCUAAGGAACUACAAGAUUAUCAUCAUAAUUUACUGCGGAUGGACCCCAAAUGGAUUCAGUCUGACACUGCUCUUCAUUACACAAUGGCACUGCCUGAACUCUGGAUGGAAAGGUUGCUGUCUUGCCUUUGGCCAGCAUUUUGCAGUCACUCCUAUACAAGGGCUACUGCAUACUCUCUUCUGGGUGUGAAGGCCUUUACUCUUCUCUACAUGCAGAAAAGAACAGAAUCCAUCUACAAUGACAUAUCAUUUGUAUGAGUCUCAGACUGACUUAUUGAAAUAAAUUAUACUUGGUAUGAUUCA